UACGUAGGGGGCUAGCGUUGUCCGGAAUCAUUGGGCGUAAAGCGCGUGUAGGCGGCCCGAUUAGUCCGCUGUGAAAGUCCAGGGCUCAACCCUGGAAUGCCGGUGGAUACUGUCGGGCUAGAGUCCGGAAGGGGCGAGUGGAAUUCCUGGUGUAGCGGUGAAAUGCGCAGAUAUCAGGAGGAACACCAAUGGCGAAGGCAGCUCGCUGGGACGUGACUGACGCUGAGACGCGAAAGCGUGGGGAGCAAACAGG
rnacentral:rRNA from 1 species